CCUACGGGAGGCAGCAGUGAGGAAUAUUGGUCAAUGGGCGGGAGCCUGAACCAGCCAAGCCGCGUGAGGGAAGAAGGUCCAGCGUAUCGUAAACCUCUUUUGUCAGGGAACAAAGGCGGGGACUAGUCCCCGGAUGGGGGUACCUGAAGAACAAGCAUCGGCUAACUCCGUGCCGGCAGCCGAGGUAUUACGGAGGAUGCGAGCGUUAUCCGGAUUUGUUGGGUUAAAAGGGUGCGCAGGCGGCCUGUUAAGUCAGCGGUAAAAGCCCGGGGCUCACCCCCGGCGAGCCGUUGAAACUGGCGGGCUGGAGUUGGAGAGAAGGACGCGGAAUGCGCGGUGUAGCGGUGAAAUGCGUAGAGAUCGCGCAGAACCCCGAUGGCGAAGGCAGCGUACCGGCUCCACACUGACGCUGAGGCACGAAAGCGUGGGUAUCGAACAGGAUUAGAUACCCCAGUAGUC
rnacentral:rRNA from 1 species